rnacentral:rRNA from 1 species
CUACGGGUUGCAGCAGUGAGGAAUAUUGCACAAUGGGGGGAACCCUGAUGCAGCAACGCCGCGUGGAGGAUGACGCAUUUCGGUGUGUAAACUCCUUUUAUAUGUCAAGAAAAUGACGGUAGCAUAUGAAUAAGCACCGGCUAACUCCGUGCCAGCAGCCGCGGUAAUACGGAGGGUGCAAGCGUUACUCGGAAUCACUGGGCGUAAAGGACGCGUAGGCGGGCUUGUAAGUCAGGUGUGAAAUCCUACAGCUUAACUGUAGAACUGCACUUGAAACUACGAGCCUAGAGUAUGGGAGGGGAGAUGGAAUUAGUGGUGUAGGGGUAAAAUCCGUAGAUAUCACUAGGAAUACCUAUAGCGAAGGCGAUCUCCUGGAACAUAACUGACGCUAAGGCGUGAAAGCGUGGGGAGCAAACAGGAUUAGAUACCCCCGUAGUC